rnacentral:rRNA from 1 species
ACGCUCGACACCUACUGGAGGCAGCAGUGGGGAAUAUUGGGCAAUGGAGGCAACUCUGACCCAGCAACGCCGCGUGAGUGAUGAAGGUCUUCGGAUUGUAAAACUCUUUAAGUAGGGACGAAGAAAGUGACGGUACCUACAGAAUAAGCCUCGGCUAACUACGUGCCAACAGCCGCGGUAAUCUGAGCGGGCUGGCAAGGC